rnacentral:rRNA from 1 species
CGGUAAUUCCAGCUCCAAUAGCGUAUACUAAAGUUGUUGCAGUUAAAAAGCUCGUAGUUGGAUUUCUGCGGGGACGGAGCGGCCGGUCGCAACUUGCGACUCGAGCUAGCGCUUUCCCCGCAUCCUGCCGCGAACCGUGCUACCAUUAGCUUGGUGGCGCUGGGGAUCGGCUCGAUUACUUUGAGAAAAAUAGAGUGUUCAAAGCAGGCCACACGCCUUGAAUAAGUUAGCAUGGAAUAAUGACUAAGGACUUCGGUUCUAUUUUGUUGGUGUUCGGGACUGAAGUAAUGAUUGAUAGGGACAGUUGGGGCGGUCUGUAUUCCAAAGCGAGAGGUGAAAUUCUUAGACCUUCGGAAGACAAACAGCUGCGAAAGCGUUCCGCAAGGAUGUUCCCUUUGAUCAAGAACGAAAGUUGGGGGAUCGAAGACGAUCAGAUACCGUCGUAGUCUCAACUAUAAACUAUACCAGCUAGGGAUCGGUCAACGUUUAAUCAUUCGACUUGAUCGGCACCUUAUGAGAAAUCAAAGCAUCUGGGUUCCGGGGGGAGUAUGGUCGCAAGGCUGAAACUUAAAGGAAUUGACGGAAGGGCACCACCAGCCGUGGAGCCUGUGGCUUAAUUUGACUCAACACGGGAAAACUUACCAGGUCCAGACAUAGUAAGGAUUGACAGAUUGAUAGCUCUUUCUUGAUUCUGUGGGUGGUGGUGCAUGGCCGUUCUUAGUUGGUGGAGUGAUUUGUCUGGUUAAUUCCGUUAACGAACGAGACCCCAGCCUGCUAAAUAGCGCGGCUGAGCUUUGCUCGGUGCGAGCUUCUUAGAGGGACUAUGAUGCGCGAUAGCACAUGGAAGUUUGGGGCAAUAACAGGUCUGUGAUGCCCUUAGAUGUUCUGGGCCGCACACGGGCUACACUGGCGCCUGCAACGAGCAUAUCAGCUGGCCCGAGAGGGUCUUGGCUAAUCUUUUGAACCGGCGCCGUGCUUGGGAUUGACCAUUGCAAUUGUUGGUCAUGCAACGAGGAAUGCCUUGUAAACGCGAGUCAUCAGCUCGCAUUGAAUACGUCCCUGCCCUUUGUACACACCGCCCGUCGCUCCUACCGAUGAAUGUUCCGAUGAAAUUUUCGGAGAGCGCCAGAGAACGGGGCUCUGCCUUGCAGAUCUGGAGGCUCAAAGUCACUUAAAUCUGAACAUUUCGAGGAAGGAGAAGUCGUAACAAGGUAACC